rnacentral:rRNA from 1 species
UACGGGGGGAGCAAGCGUUGUUCGGAUUUACUGGGCGUAAAGGGCGCGUAGGCGGCCAGCACAAGUCAGUUGUGAAAUCUCCGAGCUUAACUCGGAAAGGUCAACUGAUACUGUGCGGCUAGAGUGCAGAAGGGGCAACUGGAAUUCUUGGUGUAGCGGUGAAAUGCGCAGAUAUCAGGAGGAACACCAGUGGCGAAGGCGCCGACUCUGGGCCGUGAACUGACGCUGAGGAGCGAAAGCGUGGGGAGCGAACAGG